CUGAUUACAGCAUCUUUGACAGCUUUAAAGGAAUUUGCCCUGGGGAAGAAGACAGCUGCUGCCCGGAUGAGGGAUUUUUCUGAGCAGGCCUCCCAAGCCAGACACGUCAGUGUGAGAUGCUGCCUACAUUUUUCAUCCUGACCAACAGGUUGUUAGACUACAAUCAAAAGCACUUAAUAGGAAUGGAACUGUCCCUGUCAUGAGAUUUGAACUACUGACAUCUUUAUCCACUGAAACUUGAGUGCCCAGGACACAUCAGAGAGGGGAUUUUGGAAGCAUUUCACAAGGCCUGCUGCUGUGAGCUGGUUUCAGCAUGAGGAAAAGCCCUCCACCACCCCAAUGCACAGGAAAGAGAAGACAGAUGAGAGCAGCUCUCCUCCUUCCAUACUGAGGAAAAGGCCACCUGUGGACCCAGCUGUGGGGGAGAAGCGGAGAGCAGAGCGCAGGGUUCGGUUUCGUGAGCCAGAAGAAGUCAUUGAACAUGCAGAUGACAGGACAUCAUCUGGAUUGCCUGUGUUCCUGUGGCUCUUGUUUUGUGCACUGCUGAUCCUUGCUGUGAGUCUCUACUACACCAGCAUGAAGCAGGAUGUCACAGUCCUGGAGGAGUUUCAAUCCCGACUUGUCAUCUUCUUUCUUCAUUUAAGACACGUUGCUCAGAGGUGCUGGACUUGGUUUCUGAGGCAGUAGCAGCAUCCUGCAGCCUGACACUGCUGAGAAACAUCAGUGCAAAGCUCCCAGCCUACUGCAGCCACAUGCAAGGAACACAUGAGCAUCCACCUCAAAGAACAAGGAAAUCACCCCUGCUGUGCACCAUCCAGCAAACACUUGCUCUCCUUUUUACUUCUUUGUUGUUUUCCUUUGUUUCACAUCAAUGAACAUUCAUACUAAUGCCUUGAGGUCCCACCAAACUCAUGCUCCUUCACCCUGAACAGCAAACAAGUAUCUGGAUUAGGUCACCCAGAGUUUAUAAGCUGCUGAUAUGAGGAGCAAAAGCAGAAAGAGGAAUACAUUGAUCUGUGCAGGCAGCAGCAAACUCAGAAGAAAAGUCUUGUGAGUCUCAGGUCAAGACUUUAGAUACCAAACCAUCUUUCUCCUCAAGUCUCCAAGGAAUUACUCUGCAAAGAUUAAAAUAAAGCUGAGCCAUUGCACA
rnacentral:lncRNA from 1 species